rnacentral:rRNA from 1 species
AGAUUGAACGCUGGCGGCAUGCCUAACACAUGCAAGUCGAACGGGAGUAGCAAUACUCUAGUGGCGGACGGGUGAGGAAUACGUAGGAAUUUGCCCUUAAGUGGGGGAUAACCCGGGGAAACCCGGAUUAAUACCGCAUGACCUCGAAAGAGCAAAGUGGGGGAUCGCAAGACCUCACGCUUUUGGAGAAGCCUACGUCGGAUUAGCUAGUUGGUGAGGUAAUGGCUCACCAAGGCGACGAUCCGUAACUGGUCUGAGAGGAUGAUCAGUCACACCGGAACUGAGACACGGUCCGGACUCCUACGGGAGGCAGCAGUGGGGAAUAGUGGACAAUGGGCGCAAGCCUGAUCCAGCAAUGCCGCGUGUGUGAAGAAGGCCGUUGGUUGUAAAGUCAACUUUAAGUUAGGGAAAGGAAAACUCGACUACUAACAC